rnacentral:rRNA from 1 species
UACGUAGGGUGCGAGCGUUGUCCGGAAUUAUUGGGCGUAAAGAGCUUGUAGGCGGUUUGUCGCGUCUGCUGUGAAAAUCCGGGGCUCAACCCCGGACUUGCAGUGGGUACGGGCAGACUAGAGUGUGGUAGGGGAGACUGGAAUUCCUGGUGUAGCGGUGAAAUGCGCAGAUAUCAGGAGGAACACCGAUGGCGAAGGCAGGUCUCUGGGCCGACUACUGCGUGAGGAGCGAAAG